AGCCUUCCACAUCGGGCGCAGGAUUGGGCCGCCGAGGGUCCACUUCUUCCUCUCCCUCCCACUCAGAAAGAACCAGCUCCUCCUCCUCCCUGUCUGUUGGGCCCACGACAUCCACCGGUCACACCGCUGCAAAGAGGAGACUGGAGCAGACAGUCUGGCGGUGUGGCCGGUGCAGGGAACCCGAACCUCCAGAGGCUCCAGAGGGAUUGGUGUCGUGGGUCCAGUGUGACAACUGCCACAAGUGGUUUCACACCACUUGUGUCAGCUG